AAGGCUUGACAUACACCGGAAACUUCCAGAGAUGGUUGCCCCGCAAGGUCGGUGUACAGGUGGUGCAUGGUUGUCGUCAGCUCGUGUCGUGAGAUGUUGGGUUAAGUCCCGCAACGAGCGCAACCCUCGUCCCAUGUUGCCAGCGGGUUAUGCCGGGGACUCAUGGGAGACUGCCGGGGUCAACUCGGAGGAAGGUGGGGAUGACGUCAAAUCAUCAUGCCCCUUAUGUCUUGGGCUUCACCG
rnacentral:rRNA from 1 species